AUGCUCAAGUUGUGAAUUGAUGUUAAACCUAUCACUCGCCUGCAUCUUGCAAGAAAGGGUUUCAAGUUUCAAUUGAAGAGAAGAGGAAGAAGCAGCGUGUCUGGGUAUGCUCCAAUUUCAAUUCUGUAUGUUAUUGUGACCAAUAAAGCAAAUAUGUAAAUGCAAAUUAUUACACAAACUGGAGAGAUUAUCAUAUCAAACUAGAAUUAUGUAAGCUAUACAAUUCUAAUUUGCAAUAUCAAUUAGGGGUGGACAAACGGACGGUUUCAGUCGGUCACGGACCAAAAAAAGCCAAUCCAAAUGAAAUUGUGGAUGUCAUCAUAAGGCUCGAUUUUAGCCAUGUAUAAAUCGCUUUCCAUGAAUUGCAGUUUCUCCGUUUAGACGGUUGAAUCAGUCAAAACCUAACUCUUAAGAUUUUCAUUUAAAUAAAAUCAAAAGCCAAGAUUCAUAAGAAGAAACAUAGCAUAAAAGUUCCAUAAACAUAAAUGAUCAAAUCUUUAAUAUGAUUAACAAACAAAUCUAACUUAAAAAUUGCAAAAGACAACGAUAACAUAGAUGAACCAUAGAUCAGAUCUUAGAAUAUUCAUGAAAAGGAAAAACAUCAAUACAGUACCUCACUUGCAAGUUGCAACUAUGACCUUCAAACAAGAAUUAUGGGAGAUAUGAAGAGUAAGAGAGAUACAAGUUGAGUGAGAAAAAUGAUAUAUUUGGACGGCGGUAGCUGCUGGUUUAGGGUAAGAAGGAGAUGAACAUGAAAAAUUACGACAUCAUAUCAUCGUAAU
rnacentral:lncRNA from 1 species